UACGUAGGGGGCAAGCGUUGUCCGGAUUUAUUGGGCGUAAAGAGCGUGUAGGCGGCCAGGUAGGUCAGCUGUGAAAACUCGAGGCUUAACCUCGAGACGCCGGCUGAAACCCUCUGGCUAGAGUCCGGAAGAGGAGAGCGGAAUUCCUGGUGUGAGCGGUGGAAAUGACGCAGAUAUCAGGAAGAACACCCGUGGCGAAGGCGGCUCUCUGGGACGGUACUGACGCUGAGACGCGAAAGCGUGGGGAGCGAACAGG
rnacentral:rRNA from 1 species